UACGUAGGGGCUAGCGUUGUCCGGAUUUAUUGGGCGUAAAGAGCGUGUAGGCGGCCAGGUAGGUCCGCUGUGAAAACUCGAGGCUCAACCUCGAGACGUCGGCGGAAACCCUCUGGCUAGAGUCCGGAAGAGGAGAGUGGAAUUCCUGGUGUAGCGGUGAAAUGCGCAGAUAUCAGGAAGAACACCCGUGGCUAAGGCGGCUCUCUAGUACGGUAUUGACGCUGAGACGCGAAAGCGUGGGGAGCGAACAGG
rnacentral:rRNA from 1 species